GUUAAUAACAUUUCCAUUUUGCUCACAUAUUUUCUUAACUGUAGUUACCUUGAACAAGAAGAACUUAUUACACUGGAAAAGAUUUUGGAAGGCUAUGAUGAAGGAGAUCCUGAAUUACUUCGUGAAGGAUUGAACCAUCCAUUUAUAAAACAUAUGGAUGUGGAGUAUGCCAAACUUGCCAGGAGUCUGCAAACAGCAGCCGUAGCUCAAACUCCUGAAACGGUGAUUAAUUCUACUGUUCCAACUGAAGAAGCCACUGGUGACACUGUACAAGAAAACAAUACAGAUGAUUUCUCUGGUAGUCUUUUGUAAAUAUCAUUAAACAUUAUGUAGCUUGGAAGUAAAAACCUGUCUAACAACUACACUAAAUGAAAAAUUAUGGUAGAUUAUUAUUAUUAAAUGUACAUGAUUAAACCAAUCUGUGUGUAUAUAAUUCUUUAAAACUUCUUUUCAUUAUCAUUAUUGAUGUGAAGAAUGUAAAUAUAAACUCUCACUGCAACUAUUGUCAGUACUUUACUUCUCAGGUGUCUGUAGAAUUUCUGUGGUAAAACGUUGUAAGUGUAUAGUGUUUUGCAAAAUUAAAAAAGUUAUGUUUAUAAAAGUA